rnacentral:rRNA from 1 species
AUACGUAGGGGGCGAGCGUUGUCCGGAAUUACUGGGCGUAAAGGGAGCGUAGGCGGCCGAUUAAGUUGGAUGUGAAAUCCCCGGGCUUAACUUGGGUGGUGCAUCCAAUACUGGUUGGCUAGAGUACAGGAGAGGAAAGCGGAAUUCCUAGUGUAGCGGUGAAAUGCAUAGAUAUUAGGAGGAACAUCGGUGGCGAAGGCGGCUUUCUGGACUGACACUGACGCUGAGGCUCGAAAGCGUGGGGAGCAAACAGGAUUAGAUACCCUGGUAGUCCACGCUGUAAACGAUGAAUACUAGGUGUAGGGGGUGUAAACUCCCCCUGUGCCGCAGCUAACGCAAUAAGUAUUCCGCCUGGGGAGUACGGCCGCAAGGUUGAA